rnacentral:rRNA from 2 species
CAGUGAUGUGUUGAGCUAACCCAUACUAAUUACCCGUGAGGCUUAACCAUACAACACCCAAGAAGUGUUCUG